rnacentral:tRNA from 1 species
GGGGCUGUAGCUCAGCGGUAGAGCAUUUGCCUAAUGUGUGAAUCCUUGGGUUCGAGACCCAGCGCCA